rnacentral:rRNA from 1 species
CGGCGUCCGCUUUGUAAUCUAAAGAAGUGUUUUCCGCUUCGGACCAUGCCUAAGUCCCUUGGAAAAGGGCAUCAUAGAGGGUGAUAAUCCCGUACAUGGCAUGGAGCGCCCGAGGCUUUGUGAUACGCUUUCUAAGAGUCGAGUUGUUUGGGAAUGCAGCUCAAAAUGGGUGGUAAAUGCCAUCUAAGGCUAAAUAUUGGGGAGAGACCGAUAGCGAACAAGUACAGUGAUGGAAAGAUGAAAAGAACUUUGAAAAGAGAGUUAAACAGUACGUGAAAUUGCCAAAAGGGAAGGGUAGGAGGUCAGAGAUGCGUCUUGGGAUUCAGCCUUGCUUUUGCUUGGUGUUUUUCCCAAGUUGCAGGCCAACGUCGGUUUUGGGCACUGGAGAAGGGUGGAAGGAACGUGGCACCUCUCGGGGUGUGUUAUAGCCUUCUACUGGAUACAGCGACCGAGACCGAGGACAGCAGCGUACUCGCAAGAGCGGGCCUUCGGGCACCUUUACGCUUAGGGCGUUGGCAUAAUGGCCCUCUACCACC